rnacentral:rRNA from 1 species
AUUGAACGCUGGCGGCAGGCCUAACACAUGCAAGUCGAACGGUAACAGGAAGAAGCUUGCUUCUUUGCUGACGAGUGGCGGACGGGUGAGUAAUGUCUGGGAAACUGCCUGAUGGAGGGGGAUAACUACUGGAAACGGUAGCUAAUACCGCAUAAUGUCGCAAGACCAAAGAGGGGGACCUUCGGGCCUCUUGCCAUCGGAUGUGCCCAGAUGGGAUUAGCUAGUAGGUGGGGUAACGGCUCACCUAGGCGACGAUCCCUAGCUGGUCUGAGAGGAUGACCAGCCACACUGGAACUGAGACACGGUCCAGACUCCUACGGGAGGCAGCAGUGGGGAAUAUUGCACAAUGGGCGCAAGCCUGAUGCAGCUAUGCCGCGUGUAUGAAGACGGCCUUCGGGUUGUAAAGUACUUUCAGCGGGGAGGAAGGGAGUAAAGUUAAUACCUUUGCUCAUUGACGUUACCCGCAGAAGAAGCACCGGCUAACUCCGUG